UCCCUCGAGCCGGAUUUGAACCAGCGACCUAUGAUCACCGUUGUAACAUCUACAGUUCUCUGCCAACUGAGCUAUCGAGGG